rnacentral:rRNA from 1 species
UACGUAGGUGGCGAGCGUUGUCCGGAAUUACUGGGUGUAAAGCGCGCGUAGGCGGGAGGCCAAGUCCGCUGUGAAAUCGCCCGGCUCAACUGAGGAACUGCAACUAAAACUGUUAUUCUUGAGUGUUGGAGAGGAAAGCGGAAUUCCUAGUGUAGCGGUGAAAUGCGUAGAUAUUAGGAGGAACACCAGUGGCGAAGGCGCUUUCUGGACGGUAACUGACGUUGAGGCUCGAAAGCGUGGGGAGCAAACAGG